rnacentral:rRNA from 1 species
GUUACCUACGGGACGCAGCAGUGAGGAAUAUUGGUCAAUGGGCGCGAGCCUGAACCAGCCAAGUCGCGUGAGGGAAGACGGUCCUAUGGAUUGUAAACCCCUUUUGUCGGGGAGCAAAAGACGCCACGCGUGGCGUUCCGAGAGUACCCGAAGAAAAAGCAUCGGCUAACUCCGUGCCAGCAGCCGCGGUAAUACGUAGGUGGCAAGCGUUGUCCGGAUUUACUGGGUGUAAAGGGCGUGCAGCCGGAGAGACAAGUCAGAUGUGAAAUCCACGGGCUCAACCCGUGAACUGCAUUUGAAACUGU